rnacentral:tRNA from 1 species
GGGCGCGUAGCUCAGUGGGAGAGCGCCUGCCUUACAAGCAGGAGGUCGUAGGUUCAAGUCCUGCCGCGCCCACCA